CGCUAGCUACAGGCUUAACACAUGCAAGUCGAGGGGCAGCAUGGUCUUAGCUUGCUAAGGCCGAUGGCGACCGGCGCACGGGUGAGUAACACGUAUCCAACCUGCCGUCUACUCUUGGACAGCCUUCUGAAAGGAAGAUUAAUACAAGAUGGCAUCAUGAGUCCGCAUGUUCACAUGAUUAAAGGUAUUCCGGUAGACGAUGGGGAUGCGUUCCAUUAGAUAGUAGGCGGGGUAACGGCCCACCUAGUCUUCGAUGGAUAGGGGUUCUGAGAGGAAGGUCCCCCACAUUGGAACUGAGACACGGUCCAAACUCCUACGGGAGGCAGCAGUGAGGAAUAUUGGUCAAUGGGCGAGAGCCUGAACCAGCCAAGUAGCGUGAAGGAUGACUGCCCUAUGGGUUGUAAACUUCUUUUAUAAAGGAAUAAAGUCGGGUAUGGAUACCCGUUUGCAUGUACUUUAUGAAUAGGGAUCGGCUAACUCCGUGCCAGCAGCCGCGGUAAUACGGAGGAUCCGAGCGUUAUCCGGAUUUAUUGGGUUUAAAGGGAGCGUAGAUGGAUGUUUAAGUCAGUUGUGAAAGUUUGCGGCUCAACCGUAAAAUUGCAGUUGAUACUGGAUAUCUUGAGUGCAGUUGAGGCAGGCGGAAUUCGUGGUGUAGCGGUGAAAUGCUUAGAUAUCACGAAGAACCCCGAUUGCGAAGGCAGCCUGCUAAGCUGCAACUGACAUUGAGGCUCGAAAGUGUGGGUAUCAAACAGGAUUAGAUACCCUGGUAGUCCACACGGUAAACGAUGAAUACUCGCUGUUUGCGAUAUACGGCAAGCGGCCAAGCGAAAGCGUUAAGUAUUCCACCUGGGGAGUACGCCGGCAACGGUGAAACUCAAAGGAAUUGACGGGGGCCCGCACAAGCGGAGGAACAUGUGGUUUAAUUCGAUGAUACGCGAGGAACCUUACCCGGGCUUAAAUUGCAGAUGAAUUACGGUGAAAGCCGUAAGCCGCAAGGCAUCUGUGAAGGUGCUGCAUGGUUGUCGUCAGCUCGUGCCGUGAGGUGUCGGCUUAAGUGCCAUAACGAGCGCGACCCUUGUUGUCAGUUACUAACAGGUUCUGCUGAGGACUCUGACAAGACUGCCAUCGUAAGAUGUGAGGAAGGUGGGGAUGACGUCAAAUCAGCACGGCCCUUACGUCCGGGGCUACACACGUGUUACAAUGGGGGGUACAGAGGGCCGCUACCACGCGAGUGGAUGCCAAUCCCCAAAACCUCUCUCAGUUCGGACUGGAGUCUGCAACCCGACUCCACGAAGCUGGAUUCGCUAGUAAUCGCGAAUCAGCCACGGCGCGGUGAAUACGUUCCCGGGCCUUGUACACACCGCCCGUCAAGCCAUGGGAGCCGGGGGUACCAGAGGUGCGUAACCGCGAGGAGCGCCCUAGGGUAAAACU
rnacentral:rRNA from 1 species